AUUGAACGCUAACGGUAUGCUUAACACAUGCAAGUCGAACGGCAGCACGGUCGUAGCAAUACGAUGGGUGGCGAGUGGCGGACGGGUGAGUAAUGCAUAGGAAUCUGCCUUGUAGUGGGGGAUAACCCGGGGAAACUCGGGCUAAUACCGCAUAAUCUUUACGAAGCAAAGUGGGGGACCGUAAGGCCUCACGCUAUAAGAUGAGCCUAUGUCGGAUUAGCUAGUUGGUAGGGUAAAGGCCUACCAAGGCAACGAUCCGUAGCUGGUCUGAGAGGAUGAUCAGCCACACUGGGACUGAGACACGGCCCAGACUCCUACGGGAGGCAGCAGUGGGGAAUAUUGGACAAUGGGCGCAAGCCUGAUCCAGCAAUACCGUGUGUGUGAAGAAGGCCUUAGGGUUGUAAAGCACUUUUAGUGGGAAAGAAAAGCUCAUGGUUAAUAUCCAUGAGUGCUGACGUUACCCACAGAAAAAGCACUGGCUAACUCUGUGCCAGCCGCCGCCGUAA
rnacentral:rRNA from 1 species